UACGUAGGGUGCGAGCGUUGUUCGGAAUUACUGGGCGUAAAGGGCUCGUAGGCGGCCAACUAAGUCAGACGUGAAAUCCCUCGGCUUAACCGGGGAACUGCGUCUGAUACUGGUUGGCUUGAGUGUGGGAGAGGGAUGCGGAAUUCCAGGUGUAGCGGUGAAAUGCGUAGAUAUCUGGAGGAACACCGGUGGCGAAGGCGGCAUCCUGGACCAUUACUGACGCUGAGGAGCGAAAGCCAGGGGAGCAAAGCGGG
rnacentral:rRNA from 1 species